rnacentral:lncRNA from 10 species
GGUCCGGAUGCUGCGAGUGCUGCGCCUGUCCCGGGACCCUCGACCGGGCGACUCCCCCGGGGCGGGGGUGGCGUGUGGUCUCUAGACAACUGAGGGAAAGUAGACAGACCGUGCUCACCGAUUUAAAAGAACAGCCCUGAAAUGACCCCCGUUACACCCUGUUCUCUUUAGACAAGUUACUUCCACCUGGAGCGGUUUCUGGGCCCGGGUAUGGGGAUUUCUUCACCCGGCCCCCUAGGCUUUCACCUCGGUGGAAUUUCCCGCGCCCCCGCUGGGAUGAUUUAGGGACUGUUGGCUAGAACUGCCCUUGCCUACCGCCCUACUGCGGGCGCUCCCCUGUCUGGGGGGUGCUUGGCUGGGUGUGGAGAAGGAUCAAUCACAGCUGACUCCUCAGAGGUGACAGCCCCUGCCCCCUUAAAAACAAGAAAAGACCUAGCAGUGUGAAGCCAAACUGCACCCCCAGCCCCGGUGACAUGAGGAAACCGUGAGGCGCUCAGCCUGAGGUUCAUCGUUCAUCUCCUUCCUGCUUGGAAUCAGAAUGUCCUCACUGCUGAGUUUCUCCGUUUUAUGGGAUUACAUUAGUGGACAAAGGAGGGCAACCCUGUAAAUUGGAAAAUACUGCAUCAUCAUCAUCAUUAUUAUUAUUAUCUCGCUCUGUCACCCAGGCUGGAGUGCAGUGGUGUGAUCACAGCUCAGUGCAACCUCCAACUCCUGGGCUCAAGUGAUUCUCCUGACUACAGGUGCGCGGCCGCCAUACCUGGUGGCGGGGUCUCACUCACUGUGUUGCCCAGGCUGGUCUCCAACUCCUGGGCUCAAGGGAUCCACCCGCCUGGGCUUCCCAAAGUGUUGAGAUUACAGGCUGUGAGCCACUGCACCUGGUCUGCAUUAUUAUUAUUUCCAAGGUACAUGGCUGCUACGUAGAUGAGCUGAUACUCAAACCCUAGCAACUGGUUCCCGGGUUCUUAAUCCGUGGCUAAAAGUAGCAUGUUAAGAAGUUCAGAAGGAGGCAAACUGGAUUUUGAAUCCAGAUACUGCUGUUGACUACCUCUGAGGCACGGGGGCUGGUUACUUAAACACUGUGAGAACCUAUUUCCUCUUUUAAAAUUUAGGCAAUAUUAGGUUGAAUUGCAUUUAAUUGUCAUUUUUUGGAAAUUGAAAACAGCCAAAACAUCAGUAACAAAGAUCAGCAGUUUCAUCUGCUUCAUUGUAAUAGCAGGGGGACAGGCGGGCUCAUAGAAAGUCAUAGAAAGGAGGCCACCCCAGAGUUGUUGUGAGGGACAAAUGAGGUAUUGAUAGCAGCAGUGCCUGACAGCCCUGGGGUUGAAGUUAACUCAGGGACAGAUCUCAACCCAAACAUAGGGGUCAAUGGUGUCCAGGGCUGUGCUAGGCACGCUGGCUGCUCGGUUUCUCCCCUCUCCCCUCUUCCCUCUCCUUUCUCUUUUUCUUUCUCUCUCUCUCUCUUUUCCUUCCUUCCUUCCCCCUCC